CAAUAUACUCAUCUACUCAGAAUCUGGUAUUACAAUAUUCACGGACGGGUUAAGAUUAUUUAAACAAAUAUCUGAAAGAAAUACGAUCUAUCUUGAAAUCUGACAAAAUAGAGUACAUAAUGAAAUAUAAGGGAACGCCAGGCCUGCGGUCGCCCUGCAGGACAACCUCAGGAUCUCUGACUGGACUAAAGACUGGCUCCUUAAGUGCUACUGUCCAAAUGUUGCUAUGGUAUCUACAUAUAAUGUAGAGUGCAGCAUCAGCACAAACGACCUCAUGUGCUGGUAAGUGUCUGGCCUAACCCCAAUGAGGUAGUGAUGAAGCUAGGACCAUACUCUAGAUAUCCUGCAUAGUUAUACAAUAUGCAGCGGAAAAUAAACAUAAAUAAACAAUUUAAUUCGAGGGGGUACAUACUACGGGGAAGAUGUCAAAUCCAGCAAGAACUUAAGAGAAAUAUGAGAGAACAAUUCAAAAUCUACAAAAGAACAAUAAUAAUACUGUUGCGGCGUGUUAUUAUCGUUAAUGUUAUUGUUAUUGUUAUUGUUAUUAUUGUUCUUGUUAUUAUUAUUAUUAUAUUAUUAUUAUUAUUAUUAUUAUUAUUAUUAUUAUUAUUAUUAUUAUCACACCUCCUUUUUACACCACAAAAAGAGAUAUAAGGGAGUUUUCCAAUUUAAUUGACAAUCGAAAUGGAGUUAUUUUAUCCAAUAUCAGAGUCCCCACUUGGGAUAGUUUAUGGUAUCCCAAGUCACCGGUUUAGAAUCUAAAUCGAGGAGAUUUCACUUUGUAUUAAUGUCUGUGAAACACAGAAAUUCGGAUAAAGAAUUAUAUUAACCCGGGAUAAGGUGUUAGGCAUUUCCGAGUUCUGUGAUUCUAGCAUGGUCCUUUUAUCAUACUUGGCUUAUUAAAUUUUUUAAUUACUUAUUUUAGAACCUAUGCGUAUUUACUUUUUACUGCUUUUAAAUUAAGAGAAUUAUCUUGAAGCAAAUCACACGUACGUGUACCCAUUUGUUUGGGGCGCCGAAAAUCAUCUCAUGCGAACGAGUCCACAAUUAACAAUGCUUUAUUAUUAUUAAGCAAGUUUGGCUGAAGUUACGUGAACGCAUACUUCAAUUUUAUUUUUAAAAUCAUAAUUGUAUCACGCAAACGUGUACAACAUCAUAAUAAUAUUUAUUGCAAGUGGUUUCCCUAAACACGUUUAAAAUAGUACCUAUAACAAACAGUUUCCUCCAGUUAACUCUGAACAACAAAACAACAGUUAUUGGUCAGAAGAAUUUCCUCCUCAUUUAUCAAACUAACUCUCCUGCCUAUACUACAAAUAUCCAACUAUGUUGUACGUUGAAGUAAAUUUGAUUUCAAUCCAAUUGGCGCCUCUGUCUAGUUUCUUUGCAUCGUCAUGAAAAAUAAAGCCAAUUGAGUCAUUGUAAUCCAAAAAUUAUGCACUCCAAGCUCAUUCAAACAGAGAUUUGCUAGGAAAUAAGACUCAAAAGGAACAUAACAUAAUACUAAAUGACAUAAAAUUAAACAAAAUUUCAGAAAUCGCUAACGACGCAAUAAAAACAAUAAUCGAUUUGCUCCGAGUGUAAUCAAAUAAAGAACAUAAGAGUGAAAAAGAGACUUACUCAACCGAAACUCAUUCUCAAUAUUGAAUCGACGGAUACAAAACUCGGUUCCACAGUUCGAUUAAGGACAACUAUAAAAUCGAGCAAAAACCACGAACCAAAUAGAAGCCACGAACAAACCUCAAACGCUUUUAUUCAUGAAACUUGAAUUUAAAAGAAAGGUUAAGACGAACAUGCCGGAAAAUUCGAAUGAAUCUUGAAAGCAAAAUCGACCAAACGAACCUGAAAUUUAGCCGGCAACCUCUGACCGAAAACGAAAUCCUCAAACAGUAACCUCAUCGGUGACCUCGACAUUGACCAUGCUUGUGACUGGUUUUGGAGUGCCGUACGCUGAAGGAGAUGAUGAAGAAGGGUUAGCUGGUUUUAGAGGAUGAAGUCGUUUGUUGUCAAAGGCGCUCUCAUAUUUUGGAGGAAAAGAUUCGUUGGUUUCUAUCUUCUGAAGAAGACGAUGAUGGCGAGGUGAAGUCUUCUGUUGAGCGGCGGAUUUGGUGGUAAAGAAGAUGGGUGUCGAAGGGAUGCUGGAAAUGGAGGGGGUGGGUCGUUUGUGUUCAUCGGUACUGAUUCUUUAGCUCUAGGGUAGACUUUGUCUUGUGGCUUUUUUUGUAUUUUUUCUUAUCUGAUUUAGGCAUUAGCUCCCUUGUAUAGGUCUACGUCUAUAUUUUGUGGAUUAGUUCUUAGGUCUUUUGGAUAUUAGAUUCCUAGGUUUUUAAGAAAG
rnacentral:lncRNA from 1 species